UUUUUUUUAGUGGCACUCACCGAAUAUUACAAUGAGUAUGCUCAUAAAACACAAAGACUGAUGCUCAUUUAUUCGGAUUAUGAAGAAAUAACCUAGUGCCUCACAUUGGUGGUUGGAUCAGCGACACGUAUUUGGCUUUUCAACAGCACGCUGUUUUGCAAUUGACUUUUGCUUGGGUGUCACACUUGAAAAGUCACAACGAAAAGAAUGUCAGUCGAUGAAAAAACAAGUAAAAAUGAUGGAAGAAUCAAGGAAAUCAGCACAUUUCGGCGGUUUUUAUCACAGCUCGUGGCUACAACCGUGCUACUCUUUGAUAUGGGCAUGAGUGGGAUAUUUCCAUCAAUUAUUAUUCCGGCUCUAACGGGAAAAACCAACGAACACAAUCACAACGAAACACUUUCGCUCACUUCAACUCAAGCUUCAUGGUUAGGCAGCAUCGCGUAUGUUUGUGAACCGCUGGGCAGUGUUUUGUCCGCUCUGAUAACAG